rnacentral:tRNA from 1 species
GGUGUUAAUAUAGCUCAGUUGGUAGAGUGCUUGCCUUGCAUGCACAAGGUCCUGGUUUCAGUCCCCAGCACCA